rnacentral:misc_RNA from 1 species
GAUGAAGAAUGCAGCGAAAUGCGAUACGUAAUGUGAAUUGCAAAUUCAGUGAAUCAUCGAGUCUUUGAACGCACAUUGCGCCCCCUGGUAUUCCGGGGGGCAUGCCUGUCCGAGCGUCAUUGCUGCCCUCAAGCACGGCUUGUGUGUUGGGCCCCGUCCUCCGAUCCCGGGGGACGGGCCCGAAAGGCAGCGGCGGCACCGCGUCCGGUCCUCGAGCGUAUGGGGCUUUGUCACCCGCUCUGUAGGCCCGGCCGGCGCUUGCCGAUCAACCCAAAUUUUUAUCCAGGUUGACCUCGGAUCAGGUAGGGAUACCCGCUGAACUUAAGCAUAUCAAUAAGCGGAGGA